CUAACAAAUUAGAAACAAUUACCGAAAUUACCAGCUGAAUACUGUCUCCAUUAACUAGUCUAAGCACGUUACGUAACUGCAUUACUGUACCGGCAUCAAAAGAGGAAGUUAGCACACGUGUUUCUUCCCGAUCUUAAGUCCAGUUUACUUUUAUAACGGCCUAAGACAAUUACAGAAAGACGUACGUAAGGCCCAGCAUCAUGCUCGAACAAGAUACAACGCUUUCAGAAGUAAAUCUGUUGUUUCCGCGAGAACAUAACCUUUAACGGCCGCAAGAGACAGUGAUAUCCGUUACACAGCGGAGCCGCUUAAGCGUACGUAGACGGGAGCAGGUAAUCUGUGUUUCGGAGGGAUUAUGAAAGAGACUGUUGGAAAAUUGGAAUCUCGUAGAGCCAGGCAAGAGGCAGAUAGUUUCGUGAGUGAGCUGGAGGAGUAACGGUCCCGUUCCAUGUGGCGCCCCAAGUAAACGUCCUCUGUACACUCAUUAUAAGUACCCUGUAUACUUGAAGGCUGAUAAUGAUACUUACAAAAUAUCCAGCUGGUAGUUCAUCUGUUUCAGGAUAAUUAAAUCUGGUAUAAGAAAUAUCAUUGACCGAUGGGAUAAAUCAAAUGAGUGGUACGAUAAGUAUAUUAUGAUGACACUUUGUCACUUUAAAUUCAUCUGCUUAACAACACAGAUGCUACGGAUGAUUAUUUCUCAGAUGAAUUGUUCUGGCAAGUCACCAAGGAAGCGAGCAAUGCAUGUAAAAGAGGUUAAGCCACAGGCACGCGUCCGUACCUGAAGAAGUGUCACGCGAUAAGAUCAUCCGUUUCUGCAGUCUCUCAUAUGUAUAGGGCUAAAUGCCAGGACGUAUCCGCAUUUGGAUUUGUAUGCAGCAACAGAUGCCACGUUAUCCGCACUAUAUACUGACAACCUAUCUUAUAUACAUAGAUAUGUAUAUGAGGAAUGCCAUGAAUUGAAGAGGAUUAAUCGUGCCUUUGUAGCAGCACUUCUAACGCACAAUACCAAUACAUCUGUCAAUCCUGACACAGUCUACUUCGCGCCCGCAAUAACGGUUCAUUAGUAAAUGAUCGAUUUUCUACAGAGCCAAAUGAGAUUUCUGCAGGCUCAUUGAUAUCCGCUUAACCCGCGGGUUAAAUAACACUACUUUCAGAGAAGAAGAAGAAGAGAUAUAUAGAGAAAAAAAUGGAAAGAAACCUUGAUAAAUCUUCAGGUUCAUCACUGGCCCGCUGCUAUAUAUUCACGCUUGAUAAUACACCAUGCCUACUAUCAUGGACCCCCCUUGGCGGGAUAGAAAUACCCACAUCCCAGAGAUCUUUUCCUAUGAUGAAAGACUCGGAAAUUGAGCGGCCAUUCGUUGGCUGUCGAGCAAAACGAAAUGGAGACCGGAUGCCAUCAGUGGAAUCUUCAUAGAAAUAAGAGAAAUUAGUUUAUGGUGUCUUAUAUAUAUUGGGUACUUACUAUGUCGGCAACGGAUUUAUAUGUACACUGAGGGAUGACUUAGUUACAGUUAACAAUUUACUGUUACCGACAAUGAGCUAUCAACAAUCAGCCAUGGAAGUAGUGCAUCGGGUUCCUGGCAUCGUGGGUUGUUCGACAUACGUUAUGCUCGCAGCGUCACACAUACACACAGACACGCACACACAUGUACAGGUAUAUAUCCCAUAUAAAAAUCUAAUCCUUUACCCAGGUGGAAGAUUAAUCACGAGAUCCGUUAAAAGGCUAAUCACCCUUACCGUUUAGCGAGCAUACUUUAACGCCUGUUUCUUUCAAGGUAUCUAGAACAAUCAUGUAAUUCGUGCAAUUGCUAAAUUCCUCUGCGAAUUGAGACUCUAACACGUACUAAUCUGUAUGUAAUGUAGACGAUUCCAUUUUAUUGAAGAUUUUUAUGUUCUCUGAUAGGCAUUGUUAUAUCACUGGUGUUUCACUUAAAGUAGGUAUAACGAACCCUAACUGUUUUUAUGACAGACUUUUUGUCCAGAUCCGGCUAGAUAUGCGUGACACUACGUUAAUCGUUAAUUAAAAUCAUUAAGCAAGAGACAAAGUGGAGUUUGAUGCAUUAACGGAGGUAGAAGAGCAUCCAAGCGUACAACGUCCUUCUAAUUGUACCAAAGUAAUGAAUACGACAUCGGUACUCUCGCCAUGACUAACUAAUUGCGACGUGGAAAUAGCUGAGAUGAUCUUAGUGCGAGAAACGUCGAAGCGUUUGGACACCUGCCGGAGAACGUACGAAGUAUAUCGAACAAGUUACAAAAGCCAUGCCACCAGCAAAUGGUGUUGCAUUCUGGUCUACAAGAGCUUCUAUGACUACAUUGCGGUUCACUGAGAUCUCAGGAUCAUGAGAAUCACCAGAUCCAGAUAACUCGUAAAGCAUGGAUCCAGAUAACUUGUAAACCAUGAACCAGCCGUUCAAAUUGAUUCGAUUGGCUCACGAAGUAACGGAGAACAAUUGACCAAUUGAUUAACAAUAUCCAAGAGGAUCUUCCAUUCUGAAGAUCUCACGCUUGCGGAACAUCCAUCAGAAGCUUGACAGAAUUGCAAUCUCUUUAUUUUUACAGAAAUCGUUUAGAUAGUCGCUCAUUGUAGCAUUGAUCCACAGUCAGAAUCUUAUCGAACAAUAAUUCAUUUAGGAUACUUAAGUAUUCAACCUUCAUACUUAUUUCAUUGAUUGAUCACUCGUACAUUUCUCAGCAAUUUAUUUUAUUUUUUUCUUUCUUUUAAGUUCCUAAUCUUUAUGAUGGAUUAAGUAGUCACUAGAUUCCCUAGGAUAUCACUGUAACGGUAUACGUUCAGUCGAGCGGGAUUAUCGUCUCUGGUUUGUUACAGGCUGUUUCCACUUCUGACAUAUUUUUUUUUUAUUAUACAUAAACCAUUAAGAUACCAGCAAGUGUAUAUCUGCUUGGAACCUGGACAAUAGAAGGUUUUAUGGUAAAACAAGAAAAACUACUGAAUCGGCUUGUCACAAAAUUACUAAAGGAUUACAGUCAAUUUAUCUCUAUGAUAAC